UGGGGAAUAUUGGACAAUGGGGGAAACCCUGAUCCAGCGACGCCGCGUGUGUGAAGAAGGCCUGCGGGUUGUAAAGCACUUUUAGUGGGGACAAAAAGCCAGGGGCUAACACCAUCUGGUCUUGAUUUAACCCACAGAAAAAGCACCGGCUAACUCUGUGCCAGCAGCCGCGGUAAUACAGAGGGUGCAAGCGUUAAUCGGAAUUACUGGGCGUAAAGCGCGCGUAGACGGUUUUGUAAGUCAGAUGUGAAAUCCCCGGGCUCAACCUGGGAACUGCAUUUGAUACUGCCUGGCUAGAGUACGGUAGAGGGAAGUGGAAUUUCCGGUGUAGCGGUGAAAUGCGUAGAUAUCGGAAGGAACACCAGUGGCGAAAGCGACUUCCUGGACCAGUACUGACGUUCAUGUGCGAAAGCGUGGGGAGCAAACA
rnacentral:rRNA from 1 species